rnacentral:rRNA from 1 species
GUGCCAGCAGCCGCGGUAAUACGUAGGGGACGAGCGUUAUCCGGAUUUAUUGGGCGUAAAGGGUGCGUAGGCGGUGAAUUAAGUUCAAGGUAAAAUUGUUGGGCUCAACCCAAUCAUGCCUGGAUACUGGUUUACUUGAGUUAGGUAGAGGUAAGUGGAACUCCAUGUGUAGCGGUAAAAUGCGUAAAUAUAUGGAAGAACACCUGUGGCGAAAGCGGCUUACUGGGCCUAUACUGACGCUGAGGCACGAAAGCGUGGGGAGCAAACAGGAUUAGAUACCCUGGUAGUCCACGCCGUAAACGAUGAGUACUAAGUGUCGGAGCAAUUCGGUGCUGAAGUUAACGCAUUAAGUACUCCGCCUGGGGAGUACGCACGCAAGUGUGAAACUCAAAGGAAUUGACGGGACCCCGCACAAGCGGUGGAGCAUGUUGUUUAAUUCGAAGAUACGCGAAGAACCUCACCAGGUCUUGACAUCUUCUGCAAAGCUAUAGAGAUAUAGUGGAGGUUAACAGAAUGACAGGUGGUGCAUGGUUGUCGUCAGCUCGUGUCGUGAGAUGUUGGGUUAAGUCCCGCAACGAGCGCAACCCUCAUUGCUAGUUACCAAUAUUAAGUUAGGGACUCUAGUGAGACUGCUAUUGAUAAAAUGGAGGAAGGUGGGGAUGACGUCAAAUCAUCAUGCCCCUUAUGACCUGGGCUACAAACGUGCUACAAUGGGCGAUACAAAGGGAUGCGAAGCCGUGAGGUGGAGCCAAACCCAUAAAGUCGUUCUCAGUUCGGAUUGAAGUCUGCAACUCGACUUCAUGAAGUUGGAAUCGCUAGUAAUCGCGAAUCAGAAUGUCGCGGUGAAUACGUUCUCGGGGUUUGACACACCGCCCGU